rnacentral:rRNA from 1 species
CCUACGGGAGGCAGCAGUGAGGAAUAUUGGUCAAUGGGCGCGAGCCUGAACCAGCCAAGUAGCGUGAAGGAUGACUGCCCUACGGGUUGGAAACUGCUGUUAUAAAGGAAUAAAGCGAGGCACGUGUGCCUUUUUGUAUGUACUUUAUGAAUAAGGAUCGGCUAACUCCGUGCCAGCAGCCGCGGUAAUACGGAGGAUCCGAGCGUUAUCCGGAUUUAUUGGGGUUAAAGGGAGCGUAGAUGGGUUGUUAAGUCAGUGGUGAAAGUUUGCGGCUCAACCGUAAAAUUGCAAUUGAUACUGGCAGCCUUGAGUACAGUUGCGGUCGGCGCACUUCGUGGUGUAGCGGUGAAAUGCUUCGCUCUCACGCAGAACUCCGAUUGCGCAGGCAGCCUACUAAACUGCCACUGACAUUGCUGCUCGACAGUGUGGGUAUCAAACCGGAUUAGAUACCCUAGUAGUC